GACGAACGCUGGCGGCGUGCCUAAUACAUGCAAGUUGAGCGCUGAAGGUUGGUCCUUGUACCAACUGGAUGAGCAGCGAACGGGUGAGUAACGCGUGGGGAAUCUGCCUUUGAGCGGGGGACAACAUUUGGAAACGAAUGCUAAUACCGCAUAAAAACUUUAAACACAAGUUUUAAGUUUGAAAGAUGCAAUUGCAUCACUCAAAGAUGAUCCCGCGUUGUAUUAGCUAGUUGGUGAGGUAAAGGCUCACCAAGGCGAUGAUACAUAGCCGACCUGAGAGGGUGAUCGGCCACAUUGGGAAUGAGACACGGCCCAAACUCCUACGGGAGGCAGCAGUAGGGAAUCUUCGGCAAUGGACGAAAGUCUGACCGAGCAACGCCGCGUGAGUGAAGAAGGGUUUCGGAUCGUAAAACUCUGUUGGUAGAGAAGAACGUUGGUGAGAGUGGAAAGCUCAUCAAGUGACGGUAACUACCCAGAAAGGGACGGCUAACUACGUG
rnacentral:rRNA from 1 species